UCUCCGUAGGUGAACCUGCGGAGGGAUCAUUACAGAGUUCAUGCCCUAACGGGUAGAUCUCCCACCCUAUGUUAUCAUCACUUUGUUGCUUUGGCGGGCCGUCAGGCCUCGGCUUGGCUACCGGCUCUCGCUGGUAAGCGCCCGCCAGAGAACCCCAAACCCUGAAUAUUAGUGUCGUCUGAGUACUAUAUAAUAGUUAAAACUUCCAACAACGGAUCUCUUGGUUCUG
rnacentral:misc_RNA from 1 species